UGGGGAAUAUUGGACAAUGGGCGAAAGCCUGAUCCAGCCAUGCCGCGUGUGUGAAGAAGGUCUUCGGAUUGUAAAGCACUUUAAGUUGGGAGGAAGGGCAUUAACCUAAUACGUUAGUGUUUUGACGUUACCGACAGAAUAAGCACCGGCUAACUCUGUGCCAGCAGCCGCGGUAAUACAGAGGGUGCAAGCGUUAAUCGGAAUUACUGGGCGUAAAGCGCGCGUAGGUGGUUUGUUAAGUUGGAUGUGAAAUCCCCGGGCUCAACCUGGGAACUGCAUUCAAAACUGACUGACUAGAGUAUGGUAGAGGGUGGUGGAAUUUCCUGUGUAGCGGUGAAAUGCGUAGAUAUAGGAAGGAAUACCAGUGGCGAAGGCGACCACCUGGACUAAUACUGACACUGAGGUGCGAAAGCGUGGGGAGCAAACA
rnacentral:rRNA from 1 species